GUUAGCGGAGGACGGGUUGAGUAACACGUGGGUAACCUGCCUGUAAGACUGGGAUAACUCCGGGAAACCGGGGCUAAUACCGGAUGCUUGAUUGAACCGCAUGGUUCAAUUAUAAAAGGUGGCUUUUAGCUACCACUUACAGAUGGACCCGCGGGGCAUUAGUUAGUUGGGGAGGUAACGGUUCACCAAGGCAACGAUGCGUAGCCGACCUGAAAGGGGGAUCGGCCACAUUGGGACUGAUACACGGCCCAAACUCCUACGGGAGGCAGCAGUAGGGAAUCUUCCGCAAUGGACGAAAGUCUGACGAAGCAACGCCGGGUGAGUGAUGAAGGUUUUCGGAUCGUAAAACUCUGUUGUUAGGGAAGAACAAGUACCGUUCGAAUAGGGGGGUACCUUGACGGUACCUAACCAAAAAGCCACGGUUAACUACGGGCCAGCAGCCGCGGUAAUACGUAGGGGGAAAGCGUUGUCCGGAAUUAUUGGGCGUAAAGCGCGCGCAGGCGAUUUCUUAAGUCUGAUGUGAAAGCCCCCGUUUCAACCGGGGAGGGUCAUUGGAAACUGGGAAACUUGAGUGCAGAAGAGGAGAGUGGAAUUCCACGUGUAGCGUGAAAUGCGUAGAGAUGUGUAGAAACACCAGUGUGAAGGAGACUCUCUGUUCUGAACUGACGCUGAGGCGCGAAAGCGUGGAGAGAGACAGGAUUAGAUACCCUGAUAGACCACGCCGAAACGAUGAGUGCUAAGUGUUAGAGGGUUUCCGCCCUUUUAGUGCUGCAGCAAACGUAUUAAGCACUCCGCCUGGGGAGUACGUCCGCAAAGAUCUGAAGCUCAACGGAUUUGACGGGACCGCACGAGCUGAUGGAGCAUGUGUUUAAUACGAAGCAACGCGAUAGAACCUGUACCGGUCGUGACAUACUUCUGACACCGUAAAGAUAGGACUCCCAAUCGGGCAGAUGACAGUGUGCAUGUUGUCGCAACUCGGUUCGGAACUGUAGUAAUCCGCACGACUGCAACUUAGAUCUUAAUUGCAGAUUAGUGGCACUUACGGGACUGCGGGACAA
rnacentral:rRNA from 2 species